UCACACCAAAUUAAACAUUGAUUGAUAACUAAUGAUGUUCAUGUAUCUACAAAAUGUUCAUAUUUGGUUUAGUUUUUAGUUUAAAGAAUCAUUUCAACCUCUGCAUGAAAUAUGCUGCUUAUUGUGUUUUGCAUAGUAAUUUUGAAUACUAUACAUUUCAUCAAUACCUCACACUCACUGAUAAUGAAAGAAAUCGUUAAUUUCUCUCAUCUACCUCAACAUGGAGGCACUCCUCAUUCGCUCCAGGUAAAGGUUUUGUGUGGCCAAAAAGAGGCUAAUGAGGCUUUUCUGGACUGCCAUGCCAGCAGCCAAGGUUCUCAUUGCGGACAAAACAAAAACCAGAGGCAAUCUCUCAAAGGUUUUACUGGCCAGGAAUGUCAAAAGGCAUCAAUUUGUGGGUUAGUCAGUGUGUGGCAUGCCAGGCCAGUAAAGUAAUCAUAAAACAGGAGGUGGAAUACACACCAAUAAAGGUGACCCAGCCCUUCGAGCUACUUGGCUUGGAUUUGAUUGGAAAAUUAAAAACUACUGCAAGUGGCAAUCAAUAUAUAUGUGUCAUGGUAGACUACUUGACAAAGUGGCCACAAGCCUAUGCUUUAAAGACAAAGAGUGCAGAGGAGGUGACCCAAUAUCUUCUCAAGUUUGUCUAUCAGUUUGAAGCACCAAAGCCAGUUCUCACUGAUUAAGGGAAGGAGUUUGUCAGUGAAAUCAAUAAAAAAGUCAGUGACAUGCUGGUUUAAAAGAAGUCUCUGUGCCCCAUACCACCCACAGAUUAAUGGUUUGGUAGAAUGAAUAAAUGCUACCAUACAGAGAGCACUUUCCAAACUGGUGCAAAACAAGCCAGAUGACUGGGACAGACAUUUGGAUGCUGUACUAUUUGGCUUAAGGACAAAACGCCAACUACUAAAUUCUCACCAUAUUUUCUGACGUUUGGAAGAGAAGCAAGAUAUCCAACUGAAAUACUUGAAGAUUACAAGGUGGACAGCGGUGUUGAAGACGAUAUGUCAGUGGAGGAGGUCAUUGAGAAAAUGUUUUGAAACGUGAUCAAACUUAUUCGGUCUGUAAUCACCUCCAAACAACAAAAGACAACCAAAAGCAAGGGAAAAAAUGUAUCAAGUGUAAGGAAUUGAGGUUAAACGGUACAGCAGGUAAAGGGAGAGGUCUAGGAAACACUAUAAGUAGUGGCAAGGAUGGGGUAUAAAGAGAGGGGAUGAAUGGUAAAAAGGCCUGUGUUGCAUGACAAUUUGCCAAUAGAUGUCAUUGUGCUGUAUUAAAAGUUUUGUUAAAAAUGGCUAGAAGAAAAAAUCAUAAAAAGACUGGCUGGCAAUUUUGAUGAGUGUUGAACUUAGGGUACCUGAAAAAACUAUGACCGGUGUGGGUAUCACCCUGACUUAAGCCCACAGAGCUUUCGAAGAAAUUUCCACCUGAAAAUAGAUCCACCUUGGUGUAAAAGCAAACUUUGUUACUUCUGUAAAUGCAUUGCAUAAAAUGAGCAUUUCACAGUGUGAGCAAUAUUCUCCACUGAUAAAUCUCUACACUCGACUGUGGCUCAAGUGGUAGGAACUUGUCCUUUAACUGGCGUUUCGAACCCCUGCUCUGUC